rnacentral:tRNA from 3 species
UGUCGGAUCGUCUAAUGGUAGGACGACAGAUUCUGGAUCUGUCUAUCUAGGUUCGAAUCCUAGUCCGACAG